UUUUUUUUUUUUUUUUUUUUUGCUUUUUAGGGCCACACCCGCAGCAUAUGGGGGUUCCCAGGCGAGGGGCCUAAUCGGAGCUACAGCUGCUGGCCUACGCCACAGCCACAGUGAUGUGGGAUCUGAGUCAUGUCUCUGACCCACACCACAGCUCAUGGCACCAUCAGAUCCUUAACCCACUAAGCAAGGCCGGGAUCGAACCCACAACCUCAUGGUUCCUAGCUGGAUUUGUUUCUGCUGCACCACAACAGGAACUCCCACUUAUCCUUGAAAAUACUGUCCAUGUCUUCCUAUGGCCUUGCCUCAGUCAGAGCAGCAAUACACAGAGCUUAGCUGCAUCCACACAGUCGGUCCUGUGUGGCCUCCACCGGUGCUGGGGACUCUGAGAGGCUCACCUUGGGUACUCACUGAUGGUCCCCAAGCCGGCACAUCCCCGGCAGGAGUCUGGCAGGAACAUUUAUAGGCUUGCCCUCUCCCCCUACCCCAGCCAGAAUCCCAGCAUGGCCAUUCAGAGGCAGCGUGACGAGGACUCGGCCCUGGGUCCCGUCCGCAGCCUUCGCUGGGGCCUGUCUGGCGUCGCCUGCCAGCCCUCGGCCCCAGCCUGGCAUCAUGGGUGUCCCAGAGCCAAGCUGUUGUCUCCUUCCUGUUCUUCCACUCAGCUGACCUGUCGCCUUCCUUCAGCUCCCCAGAAGACCGUGGCUCUCCCCCCACCCCGGCGCCCUGUCCCUGUCACCACCCCAUCUGGUUCUGUAGCCCUUCACGCACUCUGGAGGGGCCGUGGUGAGCGUGGGCUUGAGAGCCCCACUCUCGGUCAGUCUGGGCUCGUCCCUCCCCUUGCUGGCUAUACUCAGAGACGGUAGCAAGUUACUUCAUUUCUCUGAAUCAGGUUUACCCCUCAGUGAAACAGGACCCCCUUCUCAGGGCUAAGUUCCCACGUCAGGAACUUAGUACAGUGCUGGCUCAAAUGAUGUGCCAUAGAAAGGUGGCUGUCACUGCCUUCCCUUCCCGUCCCCUUCCUGUCCUACACACGCAGCCCCCUUCCUGCCCCUCCCCCAGAUCUGACUGGAGCCAGGCACAUCUCAGGAAGGGGUUAGACAGUGGCGAUGACUUCAUCUUUGCCUUGGCGCAGGAAGGAGGCAGGGAAGGUAACACACUCAGGCCAGAGGCUGGAUGGAAUUUUCCAGCGCUCAUAAACAGGACCAUUGCGGUUGCUAGCUGAGGUCACCAUGGAAACAGUCACAUGCACUAGCCCGUGGUUCUUCCACUCUGGCUUCAGGCCCAUGACACAAGCUCCAGGCCUCUUCAUUGGCUGCCACCUUCCUCUUGCCACUGAAAUCUGGCAGGAGAUUGGCCAAGGGUAGUUGCUGGGCUGGAGUUAGCUCCCCACCCCCAGCCGGAACCUGCUGGAAGCUGUUGUUUUGAACCAGAGGAAGAUGGAAAAUAGGCUGGCAGAGAUGUUGCCAUAGCAACUGCUUUCCUUUCUGUUCUCCUUGGAGUUCGUGGUUGACUUCUUUGCGGUUGAAGCACUUUUCCAAAGGCAAAGAGGGCGGCGGCCCCUUUACACUGACCUGACUUCUUCUUUUGAGGGGGACCUCCCUCAGCUUGCAGAGCAGUUAGAAUUUCUGAGCCUCUGCUUGGAGCUUUGUUUACUAAUCUGUGCCUGGUUGCUUUCUAUGAAAUGGAAUAUUCACUGUAGGACCCCCGUCCUAGCAUCGAGGGCUGGAAUAAGGCUCCAACUGGACUAAGGUGGCAAAUGCUCCUUGUCACCUGUAAAGCUCUGUGCACCUACCACAUGUCUUUAAUUGGCUGCCACUGAGGUUAGCAUAGGGCAAUGGCCCUAUCAGCUGGAGUCCGGGGAGAUACCAACAUGUUUAGCAAAGCCCAGAGCCCUGCGACCCCCAGGCCCUUUUUGAGUCUACUUCCUCUUGUCACCACUGCCUUCUGGGACCGUCAGCAGUUCACACAGAGCUCCAGGGACUUCAUUUCUCUUUCUGUAAAAGAACUCUUUAGGAGUUCCCGGCGUGGCUCAGUGGUUAACGAAUCCGACAAGGAACCAUGAGGUUGUGGGUUUGUUCCCUGACCUCACUCAGUGGGUUGGGGAUCCGGCGUUGUUGUGAGCUCUGGUGUAGGUCGCAGACACAGCUCGGACCCCGAGCUGCUGUGGCUGUGGUGUAGGCCAGCAGCUACAGCUCCAAUUGGACCCCUAGCCUGGGAACUUCCAUAUGCUGUGGGUGCCGCCCUAGAAAAU
rnacentral:lncRNA from 1 species